AGCGAACGCUGGCGGCAGGCUUAACACAUGCAAGUCGAGCGGACCUUUCGGGGUCAGCGGCGGACGGGUGAGUAACGCGUGGGAACGUGCCUUCCGGUUCGGAAUAACCCUGGGAAACUAGGGCUAAUACCGGAUACGCCCUUAUGGGGAAAGGUUUACUGCCGGAAGAUCGGCCCGCGUCCGAUUAGCUAGUUGGGGGGGUAACGGCCUACCAAGGCGACGAUCAGUAGCUGGUCUGAGAGGAUGAUCAGCCACACUGGGACUGAGACACGGCCCAGACUCCUACGGGAGGCAGCAGUGGGGAAUAUUGGACAAUGGGCGCAAGCCUGAUCCAGCCAUGCCGCGUGAGUGAUGAAGGCCUUAGGGUUGUAAAGCUCUUUUAUCCGGGACGAUAAUGACGGUACCGGAGGAAUAAGCCCCGGCUAACUUCGUG
rnacentral:rRNA from 1 species